CGGAGUUAGCCGGUGCUUAUUCCUUAGGUACCGUCACUAUCUUCCCUAAGAAAAGAGCUUUACGACCCAAAGGCCUUCUUCACUCACGCGGUAUUGCUGCGUCAGGCUUUCGCCCAUUGCGCAAAAUUCCCCA
rnacentral:rRNA from 1 species